GAUGAAGAACGCAGCGAAAUGCGAUACGUAAUGUGAAUUGCAGAAUUCAGUGAAUCAUCGAGUCUUUGAACGCACAUUGCGCCCCCUGGUAUUCCGGGGGGCAUGCCUGUCCGAGCGUCAUUGCUGCCCUCAAGCACGGCUUGUGUGUUGGGCCUCCGUCCUCCUCCCGGGGGACGGGCCCGAAAGGAAGCGGCGGCACCGCGUCCGGUCCUCGAGCGUAUGGGGCUUCGUCACCCGCUCUUGUAGGCCCGGCCGGCGCUUGCCGACACAUCAAUCUUUUUUCCAGGUUGACCUCGGAUCAGGUAGGGAUACCCGCUGAACUUAAGCAUAUCAAUAAGCGGAGGA
rnacentral:misc_RNA from 1 species